CGUAUAAACUUGGUAGAAUUAAGAAGAGAAAAUUGUUCAACUGGGGACUUACAGUUAUUGGCAAGGGAAUUCAAAAUCAGUAAGUCAGAUUGUCAACAGACAUGGGCCAGUAUUAGCAAGUGCAAAUGCCAAAUAAUAUCAGCAUUUACAUAUUUUUUCUGGUUUUGUUGUUUUUUAAAACAGCCACUGGAGAGAUUAAAAUCAGAAGGAAAUAAAUAUAGAGGACAACUGCUACAUUUCUCUAUCAUUGCUACUUGAUCAGGGAAAAUCCUUUCUCAAUCUUAUCUCCAUAUUGCUUUCUUUUUCUUGUGGAGUAAAGGUAGAGUUUAGUUCCAUGUAAGCACUCUGGAAAGGUGGAGCCUUGGGCUGCUUUCCCAGGAUUAGAUGCCAGUUAGGGAGGUGAACUUGCACAGCAAGUUUGUCUUCUUUCCUUGCGUGCAAGACUUGAACUAUUGGAACAUAUAAUUGAACUUAUCUUUUAAAUGUAAUUGUGAGAACAACCAAUAAACAGGAAAUAAACACUAUAAGCAUACAAUUGGUGAUUGGCAGGAUAUGUAAUUCUAUAUUAGGAAUAAUCAAAGUAAACGUUGAGGUUUAAACAACAAAAAUAAUCAAGUCUGAAUUGACCAAAUUCUUCUCAUCUUGCUCACUUCUAUUAUACCAUAUUCUAUAAGUAAAAUUUACUCAAUCCAAAUGAAAAAAGCUUAUAUUCUACAUUUUUAGCAUUUCAUAGCUUGCUCACUUUUCUAAUCAAAGCAAUUACAGAAUAUUCUCAUGCUGUAAUUUCUGUUAUCUACAAAGUAGGCUGAGUUAGUUAAAUAGAAAGUUUGGACGUACUAAUAUUAAAUAUAAAUCCAGCAUAGGUUCUUGCAGUACUGUAUAAACUAUAAAUCAUGUGAUUGCAGAAAGUAGAUCGGAAUAUAGAAUACAGCUGACAUUCAUGUGACAGAUAAUAGUGUACAGGCUUGAAAAAAGUCUCCAGAAUUCAAACAGUACAGUAUUAAUAUUACAGGGAAUAAUUCAAACUGACAAAUGAUAUUUCUUUUAUUGCAGAUAUAACACUUAUCCUUAUAAAUAAUAUUUUAAGAUGCCCAAAGUCUUCUAGAGUGGGUGGCCAUUCUAAAUGUAAUAAAAUAAAUACCUACAUACCUAUCUUAUCUACAUAGCUAUAGUACUUAGAAUCUAAUAUACCGCUCCAUAGUGCUCUACAGCCCUCUCUAAGCAGUUUACAGAGUCUGCCAACUGGAUGCUCAGCAACAUGCAAUGGAGGGAAAGCGCCUCAGAGGGAGACCACAGCUGCGAUAUAAGGAUAUCUGCAAGAGGGACCUAAAGGCCCUGGGAAUGGACAUUAACAACUGGGAAACCUUGACCUCUGAUCGUUCAGCUUGAAGGCUAAAGACGCAGCAUGGCCUUCUCCAAUUUGAAGAAACACUUGUUCGGCAGGCUGAGGCAAAGAGGCAAUCCCGGAAUCAGCAAAAUCUGGGGGCUGGGCAGAGGGCAGAAUGCAUCUGCCCUCAGUGUGGAAGGGAUUACCAUUCUCGAAUUGGCCUUUUUAGUCACACUAGAUACUGUUUUAGGACCUCUUUCCAGAGCACGAUACCAUAGUCUUUUGAGACUGAAGGAUGCCAAUGGAAUUCCAACUCCACGACUUAUAUCUUCUUUGUCACAUUUAUUAUCUAGCAUCUUUAUUUGGUCUGUGUACCAAGGCAAGUCUUCUAUUGUAUUCAGCAAACACAGUAUACUAAAGUUUGUAAUAUUUCCUACUAGGAAACACUUCCAAAUCUAUAUUACAAGACCAUAGUGUUUUGAGUGUUUGCAAUGCUUCAAGAGGCAAAUAUGGGUGCAGCUCUCAGUUGCAGUACUGUUUUUCAUUUGAUAAUAUAAUACUUCUUUUUUUGCUUGUUGUACACAGAUGUAAUAUAAAUGUGUGCAGCAGUGUUAUGAGGAAAAUACAACUCCACAAUAUAUCAUCUAGAAUAAAGUGGUCAUGUAUCUAGAAAGCUUCUAGCUAGGAAUAUAUUUCAAAAAGGCCUGAAAAUGUAAUUCAUCCAUGAGAUAUAAAUUUGGAAAUAUCAUUGUGAAUUGAAAUAUUUUCUUUCUUAGUCCAACUAGGAAAGCAACUUCUUAAAUACCGAAAAUGCUUGUUGCUGCUCUAUCUGUAUUCAUUGCUUUAAAGCGGGUAUCAAGGCAGAAUAAUAUUUGAGUGUAUUGUUUCAAAUCACCAGCCAACUUUUACUUUAAUAGGCAUCUUAAUUUUAAAUAAAUUGUUAUCUGUAAUAAAAGCUUUCAUAUGGA